rnacentral:rRNA from 1 species
GACAGAGGAUGCAAACGUUAUCCGGAAUGAUUGGGCAUAAAGCGUCUGUAGGUGGCUUUUCAAGUCCGCCGUCAAAUCCCAGGGCUCAACCCUGGAUAGGCGGUGGAAACUACCAAGCUGGAGUACGGUAGGUGUAGAGGGAAUUUCCAGUGGAGCGGUGAAAUGCAUUGAGAUCGGAAAGAACACCAACAGCGAAAGCACUCUGCUGGGCCGACACUGACACUGAGAGAUGAAAGCUAGGGGAGCAAAUAGG